rnacentral:rRNA from 1 species
AAGAGUACGUGAAACCGUUCAGGGGUAAACCUGUGAAACCCAAAAGAUCGAAUGGGGAGAUUCAUCGUCAGCUCAUUUUGUAUAUAUGCAAGUUGUGAUAUGGGUUACUCUUGUAGUAUUGCCUGUACAUUCUUGUAUAUUUAUUUGCAAGGUGUUGUCGGCGUGCACUUCUCCCCUAGUAGGACGUCGCGACCCGUUGAGUUGUCGGUCUAUGGCCCAGGUGGAAGCUUUUAAUGGAUUUAUUCAUUGGAAACCCCUGGGGUUUUCUGACUGGGACUCUUCGGUAUUCCUAUGGGAUUGAGCCCCAUAUUAUAUGCGUCCCAUCCCUCGCAAACGAGGGUAUUUAUUGAGAGUGCGGACACAUUGCGGCCGUUGGGGCUAUCCCCCUGUUGGGUGUACGGAAUUUUAUGAGUUGGUCGUUUAAAAACACCGGUCAGCGAUGCUACUGCUUUUGGGAC